GCCUUGUGGAUUUUUUUUUUUUUUUUUAACACAAAUGCAGUUUGCGUAGGGGUUACUAGGGCGGGGAUAAAGUCAGCAUAUUGCCAAAUCAGUAAUGCAGACUAAGGGUAUUGCUUGACUCGAGACCGCAGGCGUAGGGAAAAUGCGAUAAAGGUUGGCUGGUGGUGAUGUCAGGCCAGGAAGUAGACAGACAGAUGACACCCAGCUCUACCUAAAACUAGACCCUGGGUGUCCCUCUGCCAUGGCCUGGCUCUCAGCUUGCAUCCAAGACAUCGAGGCCUGGAUGUCUCCCAAAUCUGAACUUAUUCUAGUAGGAUCGAAAACUCAACUCAAGAAUCUCAAUAUUGCUUCCUUGAACCUUGGAAACUGUCUGCUGCUGCCUUCCCCCACUGUACAAAGCCUUGGUGUACUUCUGGAUAGUAACCUCUCCUUUGGUGCCCAAAUCGUCUAUGUAGUCAAAUCUUCCUUCUACCACCUCCGAAAUAUCUCAGAGGUCCAUCCCUACCUUUCCUUCCCGGAUGCAGAGAUACUCUGUCAUGCAUUCAUGUCCUCUCGACUUGACUACUGCAACACUCUCUAUGGUGGUCUUCCGUCACACGCCAUAUACCGAUUGCAGCUGGUUCAAAAUGCCGCUGCUAGGAUCCUUACCAGAUGUAAAAAAUAUGAUCACAUUACCCCGUCUUGCCCAGUUGCACUGGCUACCUGUAAAGUUCAGGAUUACUUUCAAAAUUCUCCUGCUUGCCUACAAGGUCCUUCAUCACACAGGUCCAGAGUAUCUCUCCAACCUGCUGACCUGCUAUGUCCUUGCACGCAAGCUGAGGUCCUCUGACUGGCUUGCUUAUUAUACCCAAGCAAAAGUGCACCACACUCGGAGAGUGCUUUUUCGUAUGAUGCUGUAUGACACACGCAUCCACAAUGUUUAAAAUUCACAUCCUAGCCCUUUAUUUAAUGUAAUAUGCCUGUAUUUAAUGUAUUUGCAUUGUAAUUUGCCUGUAUUUAAUGUAUUUGCAUUUUUAAAAAAACAUUUUUUUACUGUUUGUAUUUAAUGUACUAUGCCCUGUAUUUCACUGUAUUUAAUGUAUUAUGCAUUGUUCUUCACUAGCUUAUAAAGUGCUUUGUGGUGGUGGUCCACUAUGAAAGGCGCUAUAUAAAAUAAAG